UCAGUGCUUAGUUCCUCAAAUGGCUGUGUUCUCUGCAUGGGCAAGGACACGGUUAACUUGGGAGUUUUAUCCCAGUGAAAGUAUGUACUUGAAUAUCUGCGUGUUCUGUUUACUGUGAAAGAACAGUCAUAAAGAACGAAGGAAAUCUUGCCUUUGGCACAUAAAGCCUAUCCAAGGAGGCUGGAGCUAUGGAGGGAAAGCCAGAAGAGCAUUUGCAGACUGGCUGAGGCACUUUGCCAUCUUGCACCCACAGAGUGUGCGUAGGAUGUGCCCAGUGUCCCCAGCUCUGCACCAGCUGCUUCCCAAGAAGACCUGGCUGAGCUGCAAUGUCAGAGUCUGACACUGAUGGAGCUACAUUUCAGAAGUGAACAACUUAGAAGACGGUGUGCAUCCACUCUUCUUCCUCAUGGUCCUGUUCCAGGGCUGUGAAGCAAGCCAAUAGCCUUUGGAGAUGUAACCCCAGGGGCCAGUUAUAUAUCUGCAGGACAUGCUUUAUUCUGCAGUGGACAAAAUCUAUAUUGAGGGUCCCUUAGGUCUUUGUUGCUUACUGCAAUACAGUUUACAAAAAUCCUUGUAUCUUUGGGGGUAGGAGGUGCUUUCCCAGAUUAAUAAAAUUGUCUAUCUCUCUCUCUUUUUUUUUUUUUUGAGAACAGGCUCGCUCUGUUGCCCAGGCUGGAGUGCAGUGGCAUGGUCUUGGCUCACUGCAACCUCCACCUCCCAGGUUGAAGCAAUUCUCCUACCUCAGCCUCCUGAGUAGCUGGGACUAUAGGCACACAC
rnacentral:lncRNA from 1 species